CCUACGGGAGGCAGCAGUAGGGAAUAUUGCUCAAUGGGGGAAACCCUGAAGCAGCAACGCCGCGUGGAGGAUGAAGGUUUUCGGAUUGUAAACUCCUUUUGUUAGAGAAGAUAAUGACGGUAUCUAACGAAUAAGCACCGGCUAACGCCGUGCCAGCAGCCGCGGUAAUACGGAGGGUGCAAGCGUUACUCGGAAUCACUGGGCGUAAAGAGCGCGUAGGCGGGAUAGCAAGUCAGAUGUGAAAUCCUAUGGCUUAACCAUAGAACUGCAUUUGAAACUGUUAUUCUAGAGUAUGGGAGAGGUAGGUGGAAUUCUUGGUGUAGGGGUAAAAUCCGUAGAGAUCAAGAGGAAUACUCAUUGCGAAGGCGACCUGCUAGAACAUAACUGACGCUGAUGCGCGAAAGCGUGGGGAGCGAACAAGAUUAGAUACCCCAGUAGUC
rnacentral:rRNA from 1 species